AUCCAGACUCCUACGGGAGGCAGCAGUGGGGAAUAUUGCACAAUGGGGGAAACCCUGAUGCAGCGACGCCGCGUGAGCGAAGAAGUAUUUCGGUAUGUAAAGCUCUAUCAGCAGGGAAGAAAUUGACGGUACCUGAGUAAGAAGCUCCGGCUAAAUACGUGCCAGCAGCCGCGGUAAUACGUAUGGAGCAAGCGUUAUCCGGAUUUACUGGGUGUAAAGGGAGCGUAGGCGGCCUGCCAAGUCUGAAGUGAAAUCCCGGGGCCCAACCCCGGAGCUGCAUUGGAAACUGGCAGGCUGGAGUGUCGGAGAGGCAGGCGGAAUUCCUGGUGUAGCGGUGAAAUGCGUAGAUAUUAGGAGGAACACCGGUGGCGAAGGCGGCCUGCUGGACGAUGACUGACGCUGAGGCUCGAAAGCGUGGGGAGCAAACAGGAUUAGAUACCCCAGUA
rnacentral:rRNA from 1 species